rnacentral:rRNA from 1 species
AUUGAACGCUGGCGGCAUGCUUUACACAUGCAAGUCGAACGGUAACAGGCCGCUAGGUGCUGACGAGUGGCGAACGGGUGCGUAAUGCAUCGGAACGUGCCCAGUCGUGGGGGAUAACUACUCGAAAGAGUAGCUAAUACCGCAUACGAUCUAUGGAUGAAAGCGGGGGACCUUAAGGCCUCUCUCGAUUGGGGCGGCCGAUGUCAGAUUAGGUAGUUGGUGGGGUAAAGGCUCACCAAGCCAACGAUCUGUAUCUGGUCUGAGAGGACGACCAGCCACACGGGGACUGAGACACGGCCCAGACUCCUACGGGAGGCAGCAGUGGGGAAUGUUGGACAAUGGGCGCAAGCCUGAUCCAGCAAUGCCGCGUGCAGGAAGAAGGCCUUCGGGUUGUAAACUGCUUUUGUACGGAACGAAACGGCUCUGGUUAAUACCCGGGGCUAAUGACGGUACCGUAAGAAUAAGCACCGGCUAACUACGUG